rnacentral:rRNA from 1 species
GCAGCAGCCGCGGGAAAACAGAGGGUGCAAGCGUUAAUCGGAAUUACUGGGCGUAAAGCGCGCGUAGGUGGUUCGCCAAGUUGGAUGUGAAAUCCCCGGGCUCAACCUGGGAACUGCAUCCAAAACUGGCGAGCUAGAGUAUGGUAGAGGGUGGUGGAAUUUCCUGUGUAGCGGUGAAAUGCGUAGAUAUAGGAAGGAACAUCAGUGGCGAAGGCGACCACCUGGACUGAUACUGACACUGAGGUGCGAAAGCGUGGGGAGCAAACAGGAUUAGAUACCCCAGUAGUCCCUGUCUCUUAUAC